AAAAAAUCCAUGGGAAAAAAAAUGAUAAAUACUAGCAGUGAGGAAGCCAGCAAACAAUGUUUUCACACAUGAAAACAGAAAUUCAGAUUUUAAUUAACCCCGUGAAUUUGCCUGAAAAUAUGCUUCCUGGAACACAGCUAAGUCGUGCUUAUGAUAAAGAUGUGGCUGGAAAGGGAGAUGUCUACCGUUUUCUGAAUAAAACAAAAGAUUUUGUCAUCGAUGCAAGUUCUGGUGCCAUCACUGCUACCAAAAUUUCUAAUUAUGAAACAGAUCCAAUAAGGUUUCUUCUGAUAGUUGAUACUAGGCUCUCUAGACAUGUUUUGACCAUUAUUAUUAUUGAUGUUCCUGAAUCUCCAAACUACUGCUGAUCCCAAAUUUUCUUCAGGCACAGGUAUGAUGCAUUAUCUUCCUAUAGUUUACUUCUAAGAGCUAUGUAUAAUGACAGAGGCCAGGCAUACUCCUUCAGUUAGAGAUGAUUCAGUGAUUCUUUAAAUUAUGCAUAUAAUGUGUGUUUAUAUAAAUAUGCAAAACUAUGUGCAGACCU
rnacentral:lncRNA from 10 species